rnacentral:rRNA from 1 species
AUGAGUAAAUUUCUUGUAAAAGCUCUCCUGCUGCUGUCUCUUGUCAGCUAUGGAACCAACUUGGCCACAUCAUGGAGUGAUAAAGAUUUCUUCAGAUACUGCCUGCCAUCGCGGUGCAGCAAAGAUGGGCCUGAGGUCAGGUUCCCGCUCCGGCUUGAACCCAGCAGUUUACCUUCAUCAUGUGGCACAACAUACAUUGAGCUAGCAUGCCGUGGUCAUGAAACCAUCCUUGUUCACCCGGUUUUUGGUCCAUGCAAAGUGACAGCCAUAGAUUAUAGACGUGCUUCCAUGAAUAUCUUGCCGCUUGUAUACUCGUCUCCUUGUCCACUUGGGGAGAUCUUCUCCAAAAGCAUACAAUUACCAGUUUCUGCCAGUGCAGACUACCUGGAAGAAUAUACAGAACAUGCAACCCUGGUAUGCUGCUCCAGAGUGUUCACACCACGCAUAUGGGCUGUCGGUAGCAUUGCUGGGCCAAUCCCCUGCCUUAGCAAUUCAACCCACCUCUCGUAUUUGGUGGAUGCUUACGUGUCCAUGUCUGUGCUUCCAUUGGAAUGCAAGGUCGUCUCAGAUGACAGCAUUCAGAUACCCAUACCCGCAGAUGGAUAUGGAACAGUAGACCAGUUAACAUUCAAGGUACAUGCAGACAGGAUCAUCAAUUUUGCUGACAUGACGCUGAGUUGGCUUCUUCACGAGAAUUGCCAAACAUGUGAACACCAUGGGUGGCACUGUGGAUUCAGCUCACAAAGGAACGAAGCGUUCUGCGAGGAUAACCCUGACGAAAUCCCAUUAUCUUCUUUGCUAUUUGCAGGCUCAAGUAUCAAAGUUGUUGCAGCUACAUCAUCGGCGAUUACGUUUGUUAUACUUUUGUUGAUGGCAGUCACUGUAGUUUAUCCUUCACUAAAGACAAGAUACAAUGAAGAGGUGCAUCUGAAGGUUGAAAUGUUUCUCAGGACAUAUGGCACAUCGAAACCCACAAGGUACACUUUCCCUGAAGUUAAGAAGAUAGCUAAGCGGUUCAAGGAUAAACUAGGCCAGGGUGGAUUUGGAAGUGUAUACAAAGGCGAGCUACGAAAUGGAGUUCCCGUGGCAGUCAAAAUGCUAGAGAGCUCUACAGAAGAGGGAGAGGAAUUUAUCAAUGAAGUUGCAACCAUUGGACUAAUCCACCAUACAAAUAUCGUCCGCCUCCUGGGAUUUUGCUCUGAAGGAACGAGACGGGCUCUUAUCUACGAAUUCAUGCCUAACGAGUCACUGGAGAAAUACAUAUUCUCACACGUUUCUAAUAUCUCUCGGCAACUCUUAGUACCAGACAAAAUGCUAGAUAUUGCUUUAGGCAUUGCUCGAGGAAUGGAAUACCUGCAUCAAGGCUGCAACCAGCGCAUUCUCCACUUUGACAUCAAGCCACACAACAUCUUGCUGGACUACAACUUCAAGCCGAAGAUCUCGAACUUUGGCCUUGCAAAGUUGUGUGCAAGGGACCAAAGCAUCAUUACCUUAACUGCAGCAAGAGGCAUAAUGGGAUACAUCGCACCCGAGCUAUACUCUCGGAACUUUGGAGGGGUGUCGUACAAGUCAGAUGUGUACAGUUUCGGCAUGCUGGUGUUGGAAAUGGUGAGCGGAAGGAGGAACUCAGACCCAAGUGUGGAGAACUAG